UACAGAGGUCUCAAGCGUUGUUCGGAUUCAUUGGGCGUAAAGGGUGCGUAGGUGGCGGGGUAAGUCUGGUGUGAAAUCUCGGGGCUCAACCCCGAAACUGCACUGGAUACUGCCUUGCUCGAGUACUGGAGAGGAGAUUGGAAUUUACGGUGUAGCAGUGAAAUGCGUAGAUAUCGUAAGGAAGACCAGUGGCGAAGGCGAAUCUCUGGACAGUUACUGACACUGAGGCACGAAGGCCAGGGGAG
rnacentral:rRNA from 1 species